rnacentral:tRNA from 1 species
GGGGUUGUGGCUCAGUGGCAGAGCGCUUGCCUUGAAUGUGUGAGGGCCUGGGUUCAAUCCUCAGCACCA